rnacentral:rRNA from 1 species
CGGGAAGAGCUCAAAUUUAAAAUCUGGCGUAAAAGCCCGAAUUGUAGUCUAAAGAGGCGUUAUCGGAUGCGAGUCUACCGUACAAGUUCCCUGGAAUGGGACAUCACAGAGGGUGAGAAUCCCGUCUGGACGGUGGGCGAGCAGCCAUAUGAGACGUUCUCAAA